rnacentral:lncRNA from 1 species
UAGUAUUACCCAGCAGCCCCUGCCCCACCAUCUGAGCCCCUCGCCUGGGUGCUGCCCAGUGCCCUCGGUAGAGACAGGUUCCCCCCACCUCCCCCCACAAUCAUGGAUCACUCCUUCAGUGGUGCCCCCCGCUUCCUAACUCGGCCCAAGGCCUUCAUGGUGUCGGUGGGGAAGGAUGCCACGCUGAGCUGCCAGAUCAUAGGCAACCCCACGCCACAAGUCAGCUGGGAGAAGGACCGGCAGCCAGUGAAGGCAGGCGCUCGCUUCCGCCUGGCCCAGGACGGGGACCUGUACCGCCUCACCAUCCUGGACCUGGCGCUGGGCGAUAGCGGGCAGUAUGUAUGCCGUGCGCGCAAUGCCAUCGGCGAGGCCUUCGCGGCAGUCGGCCUGCAGGUGGACGCUGAGGCAGCGUGCGCCGAGCAGGCACCCCACUUCCUGCUGCGACCCACAUCCAUCCGCGUGCGCGAGGGCGCUGAAGCCACUUUCCACUGCCGAGUGCGCGGUUCGCCACCUAUGUCGGUGAGCUGGGCCAAGGAUGGGAGGCGCCUGGGCUCGCCAGACGCCCCUCGAGUGCGCGUGGAGGCGAGCGGCGAGGAGGCCGCGCUGCGCAUCCAGGACGCGAGACCGCGCGACAGUGGCACCUACAUAGUGCACGCAGAGAACCCGCUGGGCGCAGCUAGCGCCGCGGCGGGGCUCACAGUAGACGCGGAUGCAGACGCGGCAAGCCCACCCGGGGCCUCCACAGCCAUGCUCUUGGCGCACUUGCAGCGGCGGCGCGAGGCUAUGCGCGCGGAGGGUGCCCCGGGCUCGCCUCCCAGCAUCGGGACACGCACCUGUACGGUGACUGAGGGCAAGCACGCGCGCCUCAGCUGCUUCGUGACAGGAGAGCCCAAGCCUGAGAUAGUGUGGAAGAAGGAUGGGCAGCUGGUGGCCGAGGGCCGGCGACACUUAGUGUAUGAGGACGCGCAGGAGAACUUCGUGCUCAAGAUCCUCUUCUGCAAGCAGUCAGACUGCGGCCUCUAUACUUGCACUGCGUCCAACCUCGUGGGCCAGACCUACAGUUCCGUGUUGGUUGUUGUGCGAGAGCCUGCGGUGCCUUUCAAGAAGCGGUUGCAGGACCUGGAAGUGCCAGAGAAAGCGUCCGCCACGUUCCAGUGUGAGGUGCUGCUGCCGGCCACCGAGUCUGCGUGGUACAAGGAGGAGACGCGGCUGUGGGCCAGCGACAAGUAUCGCAUCGAGGAAGCAGGCACCGAGCGCCGGCUGACUGUGCUCAACGUCUCUUCCGACGACGAUGCCGUGUACAUCUGUGAGACAGCGGAGGGCAGUCGCACGGUGGCUGAGCUGGCGGUGCAAGGCAACCUUCUCCGAAAGCUCCCAAGGAAGACAGCUGUGCGAGUGGGAGACACAGCCAUGUUCUGUGUGGAGCUGGCCAGGCCAGAAGGCCCCAUCCACUGGCUGCGGAACCAGAAGGAGGUGGUGGCUGGGGGCCGAGUGGCCAUCACUGCUGAAGGCACAUGCCACACGCUCAUCAUCUCCCAGUGCAGCCUGGAGGAUGUGGGUGAGGUGGCCUUUGUGGCUGGGGACUGCCGGACGUCCACCCAGUUCUGUGUGUCGGCCCCCAGAAGGCCGCCUCUGCAUGCUCCUGAGGCCCCAGUGGUGAAGGCCAGAACGGAGAGCUCUGUGACCCUUGGCUGGUCCCCACCGGCCCAUGGGGACCGCCCUGUGGCUAUCAAUGGCUACCUGGUAGAGAAGAGGCGACUGGGUGCCUACACCUGGACCCGGUGCCAUGAAGACGAGUGGGUGGCCAUGCCUGAGCUGACUGUGGCCGGUGUGGCUGAAGAGGGUGAAUUCCAGUUCCGGGUGUCAGCUGUGAACAGCUUUGGCCAGAGCCCCUACCUCGAGUUCCCAGGGACUGUACACCUGGUCCCCCAGCUGGCUGUGAAGACACCUCUGAAGGCAGUGGAGGCGGUAGAAGGCGGCGAGGUGACCUUUUCUGUGGACCUCACUGUGGCCUCAGCAGGGGAGUGGUUCCUGGAUGGGCAGGCCCUGAAGGCCAGCAAUAUGUAUGUGAUCCACUGUGAUGGCACCCGGCACACUCUCACCAUCCGCUCAGUACCUGUCAGCCUGCAUGGUGUUGAACUCAAGUUCGUGGCCAAUGGCAUUGAGAGCAGCAUCCGCAUGGAGGUCCGAGCAGCCCUUGGGCUGACAACCAAGCAUCCAGCUGCGGCAGUGGCAGCACGGGAGGUGUUGGCUCGUCUGCAUGAGGAGGCCCAGCUCCUGGCCGAGCUCUCAGACCAGGCUGCAGCCGUGACAUGGCUCAAGGAUGGACAUGCACUACCCCCAGGCCCCAAGUAUGAGGUGCAGGCAUCAGCCGGGCAGCGGGCACUGCUGGUGCGGGAUGUGAAGAGAGAAGAUGCAGGCCUGUACGAGUGCAUCAGCCAUGGGGACCGCAUCGCCUACCAGUUGUUGGUGCAAGGUGACACUGGUGUCUGUGUGUGUGUAUGUAUGUGUGUGUGUAUGUCUCGGUUGCUCCUGCCAGCACUUCUCCCAGGAGAAUGUGGCACGCGGCACCAGCUGGUGGCUGCCUUGGUCACCAUGCAGGACGCGGGCACCUACUCAUGCCGAAUGGAUGAGGACUCUCCCUCAGCGGUGUUUGCCAGGGAGCAGCCAGCACGCAGUGAAGUGCAGGCCAUAGUAGGGGACAGUGCCACACUGAACUGUGAGGUGGCCCAGGCCCAGACAGAGGUGACAUGGUACAAGGAUGGGAAGAAGUUUAGUGCAAACGCAAAAGUGUGCAUGGAGGCCAAAGGCUGUUCCCAGAGGCUGGUGGUGCAGCAGGCGGGAAAGGCAGAUGCUGGGGAGUACAGCUGUGAGGCCAGGGACCAGAGGAUCUCCUUCUACCUGGUACCUGGAUUAGUGUUCGGCAAAGUAGCUGAGGUGAGGGCCAGUGGCAUGCUAAGCUGUGAGGUAGCCCAGGUCCAGACAGAGGUGACAUGGUUCAAGAAAGGAAAGAAGCUGAGUUCAAGCUCAAAAGUGUAUUCUCAUAAGCUUAUUCUAGUUUUGUGUCUCACACUAUAUUCCUUUCUGUGCCCAGAACCCUCUGCAGUAUUUAUCAAGGGGCAGCCAGCGCAUAAGGAGGUGCAGGCUGUCGCGGGGGCCAGCACCACACUGAGCUGCGAGGUGACCCAGGCCCAGACGGAGGUCACAUGGUACAAGAAUAAGAAGAAGCUGAGUUCGAGCUCAAAUGUGCGUGUGGAGGCCAAGGGCUGCACCCGGAGGCUGGUGGUGCAGCAGGCGGGCAAGGCGGAUGCCGGGGAGUACAGCUGUGAGGCCGGGGGCCAGAAGGUGUCCUUCCACCUGAAUGUCACAGAGCCCUCAGUGGUGUUCGCCAAGGAGCAGCCAGCUCGCAGUGAAGUGCAGUCUGUGGCAGGGGCCAGUGCCGUGAUGAGCUGUGAGGUGGCCCAGGCCCAGACGGAGGUGACUUGGUACAAGGAUGGGAAGAAGCUGAGUUCAAGCUCAAAAGUGCGUGUAGAGGCCAAAGGCUGCAACCGGAGGCUGGUGGUGCAGCAGGCAGGCAAGGCAGAUGCCGGGGAAUAUAGCUGUGAGGCUGGGGGCCAGAAGGUCUCCUUCCAUCUGGAUGUCACAGAGCCCUCGGUGGUGUUUGCCAAGGAGCAGCCAGCACGCAGUGAAGUGCAGGCCAUGGCAGGGGCCAGUGCCACACUGAACUGUGAGGUGGCCCAGGCCCAGACGGAGGUGACAUGGUACAAGGAUGGGAAGAAGCUGAGUUCGAGCUCAAAAGUGCAUGUGGAGGCCAAGGGCUGCACCCGGAGGCUGGUGGUGCAGCAGGCGGGCAAGGCAGAUGCCGGGGAGUACAGCUGUGAGGCUGGGGGUCAGAAGGUCUCCUUCCACCUGGAUGUCACAGAGCCCUCAGUGGUGUUUGCCAAGGAGCAGCCGGCACACAGUGAAGUGCAGGCCAUGGCGGGGGCCAGUGCCACACUGAGCUGUGAGGUGGCCCAGGCCCAGACGGAGGUGACAUGGUACAAGGAUGGGAAGAAACUGAGUUCAAGCUCAAAAGUGCAUGUGGAGGCCAAGGGCUGCACCCGGAGGCUGGUGGUGCAGCAGGCGGGCAAGGCAGAUGCCGGGGAGUACAGCUGCGAGGCUGGGGGUCAGAAAGUCUCCUUCCACCUGGAUGUCACAGAGCCCUCAGUGGUGUUUGCCAAGGAGCAGCCUUCACACAGUGAAAUGCAGGCUGUGGUGGGGGCCAGUGCUGCACUGAGCUGUGAGGUGGCCCAGGCCCAGACGGAGGUGACAUGGUACAAGGAUGGGAAGAAGCUGACUUCAAGCUCAAAAGUGCGUGUGGAAGCCAAGGACUGCACUCGGAAGCUGGUGGUACAGAAGGCGGUCAAGGCAGAUGCAGGAGAGUACAGCUGCGAGGCUGGGGGCCAAAAGGUCUCCUUCCACCUGGAUGUCACAGAGCCCUCAGUGGUGUUUGCCAAGGAACAGCUGGCCUGCAGUGAAGUGCAAGCCAUGGCAGGGGCCAGUGCCACGCUGAGCUGUGAGGUGGCCCAGGCCCAGACGGAGGUGACUUGGUACAAGGAUGGGAAGAAGCUGAGUUCGAGCUCAAAAGUGCGUGUGGAGGCCAAGGGCUGCAACCGGAGGCUGGUGGUGCAGCAAGUGGGCAAGGCAGAUGCUGGGGAGUACAGCUGCGAGGCUGGGGGUCAGAAGGUCUCCUUCCACCUGGAUGUCACAGAGCCCUCAGUGGUGUUUGCCAAGGAGCAGCCAGCACGCACUGAAGUGCAAGCCAUGGCCGGAGCCAGUGCCACACUGAGCUGUGAGGUGGCCCAGGCCCAGACAGAGGUGACAUGGUACAAGGAUGGGAAGAAGCUGACUUCAAGCUCAAAAGUGCGUGUGGAGGCCAAGGGCUGCAACCGGAGGCUGGUGGUGCAGCAGGCGGGCAAGGCAGAUGCUGGGGAGUACAGCUGCGAGGCUGGGGGUCAGAAGGUCUCCUUCCACCUGGACAUCACAGGUCAGUUCUUGGGGAGGAUACUAAGCUCUUCCAUUCAGAGCUUGGUGUUUGCCAAGGAGCAGCCAUCAAGCAGUGCAGUGCAGGCUGUGACGGGGGCCAGUGCCACACUGAACUGUGAGGUGGCCCAGGCCCAGACGGAGGUGACAUGGUACAAGGAUGGGAAGAAGCUGAGUUCGAGCUCAAAAGUGCGUGUGGAGGCCAAGGGCUGCACCCGGAGGCUGGUGGUGCAGCAGGCGGGCAAGGCAGAUGCCGGGGAGUACAGCUGCGAGGCUGGGGGUCAGAAGGUCUCCUUCCACCUGGAUGUCACAGAGCCCUCAGUGGUGUUCGCCAAGGAGCAGCCGGCAUGCAGUGAGGUGCAGGCUGUGACAGGGGCCAGUGCCACACUGAACUGUGAGGUGGCCCAGGCCCAGACGGAGGUGACAUGGUACAAGGAUGGGAAGAAGCUGAGUUCGAGCUCAAAAGUGCGUGUGGAGGCCAAGGGCUGUACCCGGAGGCUGGUGGUGCAGCAGGCGGGCAAGGCAGAUGCCGGGGAGUACAGCUGUGAGGCUGGGGGCCAGAAGGUCUCCUUCCACCUGGAUGUCUCAGAGCCCAUGGAGGUGUUUGCCAAGGAGCAGCCGGCAUGCAGUGAAGUGCAGGCCAUGGCAGGGGCCAGUGCCACUCUGAGCUGUGAGGUGGCCCAGGCCCAGACAGAGGUGACAUGGUACAAGGAUGGGAAGAAGCUAACUUCGAGCUCAAAAGUGCAUGUGGAGGCCAAGGGCUGCACCCGGAGGCUGAUGGUGCAUCAGGCGGGCAAGGCAGAUGCUGGGGAAUACACCUGCAAAGCUGGGGGCCAGAAGGUCUCCUUCCACCUGGAUGUCACAGAGCCUAUGGUGGUGUUUGCCAAGGAGCAGUUAAUGUGCAGGGAGGUACAGGCCAAGGCAGGAGCCAGCACCACACUGAGCUGCGAGGUGGCCCAGGCCCAGACGGAGGUGACAUGGUACAAGGACGGGAAGAAGUUGAGUGCAAGCUCGAAAGUGCACGUGGAGGCCAAGGGCUGCACCCGGAGGCUGGUGGUGCAGCAGGUGGGCAAGGCAGAUGCUGGGGAGUACAGCUGCGAAGCCGGGGGCCAGAAGGUCUCUUUCCACCUAGAUCCUGAGCUUGAGCUUGCAGCCCUGGAAAGACCAAGACGGAGGGAACCUCUGGUGGUCAAGGAACAUGAGGACAUCGUCCUGACAGCCACACUGGCCACACCCUCUGUGGCUGCGGUGACAUGGCUCAAGGAUGGCGUGGAAAUUCGCCGCAGCAAGCGGCAUGAGAUGGCCAGCCUGGGGGAAACCCACACCUUGACUGUGCAUGGCGCGCAGACCCUGGACAGUGCAGUCUACAGCUGCCGCGUUGGCGCCGAGGGGCAGGACUUUCCGGUGCAGGUGGAAGAGGUGGCUGCCAAGUUCUGUCGUCCUUUGGAGUCUGUGAGCGGGGAGCUAGGCGGCACGGUGACGCUGACCUGCGAGCUGAGCCCUGCUCAGGCCGAAGCGGUGUGGCGCUGCGGAAACACGCAACUCCGGGCUGGCAAACGUUUCCAGAUGGCGGCUGCGGGACUUCAGCGCUCUCUCACUGUGACCGGCCUGCGAGCGGAGGAUGCUGGGGAGUACGUGUGCCAGAGUCGCGACGACCGCACCAGCGCCACACUCACCGUUAGAGUGCCUCGCAUGGUCAAGUUCACGUCCCCGCUGAGCGCAGUGGUUGCAGAGGAGGGCUGCGAGGCUAACUUCCAGUGCGUGGUGACCCCCAGCGAUGUGGCAGUCACGUGGUUCCGGGAUGGCCUUCAGCUACAGCUCAGCGAGAAGUUUCUCAUAUCUCAGAGGGGUGCCAGCCACAGCCUGACCAUCUCGAGCCUGGCCUUGGAGGACUCCGGCCAGAUCACCGCGGAGGCUGAGGGUGUCAAGUCUACAGCUGCGCUCAGGGUCCGAGAGGCUCCAGUGCUGUUCAAAAAGAAGCUGGAGCCACAGACCGUGGAGGAGCGGAGCUCGGUGACCAUGGCAGUAGAGCUGACACGGCAGUGGCCAGAGGUCAAGUGGACACGCAAUGCUGCGGCCCUGGUACCUGGCGAGAAUGUGGAGAUCCACGCAGAGGGCAAGAGUCACCGCUUGGUUCUCCACAGUGUGGGUUUUGCUGACCGUGGUUUCUAUGGCUGUGAGACACCAGAUGACAAGACACAGGCCAAACUGACAGUGGAAAUGCGCCAGGUCCGGCUUGUGCGGGGCUUGCAAGCAGUGGAGGCACAGGAGCAGGGUGUCGCCACAAUGGAAGUAGAACUGUCUCAUGCCGAUGUGGAGGGCAGCUGGACUCGAGACGGCCUUCGACUCCAGCCAGGACCCACGUGCCAGCUGGCAGUGCAUGGCCCCACCCAUAGCCUCACACUGUCACAGCUGCAGCGGCAGGAUGGAGGCCUUGUCACCUUCAGGGCAGAGGGCGUGCACACAUCAGCGCAACUGGUGGUCACUGGCCGAAAUGUCCAGAUCGUGAGGCCCCUGGAAGACGUGGAAGUGAUGGAGAAGGAGGGUGCCACCUUCUCCUGUGAGGUCUCCCAUGAUGAGGUGCCUGCCCACUGGUUCCGGGAGGGCAUUAAGCUUCGACCCACUGAUAAUGUGCGCAUCCGCCAGGAAGGUGAGAUGGACUUUAGGAGGACUUCUCCCCCUUCCCACUCCCAGGCCACCUCUCCCUUUACUGCCAAGUGGUCUCUUUUCCCAGGAAGGACAUACACUCUCAUUUAUCGGAGGGUCCUGGUGGGUGAUGCAGGGGAAAUCAAAUUUGUAGCUGAAAAUGCAGAAUCACGAGCCCAGCUCCGAGUCAAAGAGCUGCCAGUGGCCAUCCUACGCCCGCUGAGGGAUAAGAUCGCAAUGGAGAAGCACCGAGGUGUGCUCGAGUGCCAGAUGUCGAGGGCCAGCGCCCAGGUGCGGUGGUUCAAGGGCAGUGUGGAACUGCAGCCGGGAGCCAAAUAUGAGAUGAUCAGUGAUGGCCUUUACCGCAAGCUAGUCAUCAAUGCUGUCCAGCCUGAGGAUGAGGACACGUAUACCUGUGAUGCUGGCGAUGUUAAGACCAGUGCCCAGUUCUUUGUGGAAGAGCAAUCCAUCACUAUCGUGCGGGGCCUGCAGGAUGUGACGGUGAUGGAGCCUGCCCCUGCUUGGUUCGAGUGUGAGCUCUCCAUCCCCUCAGUGCGGCCUCCUAAGUGGCUCCUGGGGAAGACGGUUCUGCAGGCAGGGGCUGAUGUGGGAAUAGAGCAGGAGGGCACAGUGCACCGACUGACUCUGCGGCGGACCUUCUCCACCAUGACGGGGCCAGUGCACUUCACCAUUGGCAAAUCACGCUCCACGGCCUCCCUGGUUGUCUCAGACAUUCCCACGGUGCUCACGCGGCCACUGGAGCCCAAGGUGGGACGUGAGCUGCAGUCGGUAGUUCUGUCUUGUGACUUCAAGCCGCCCCCCAAGGCAGUGCAGUGGUACAAGGAGGAGACACCCUUGGCGCCAUCUGGCAAGUUCAAGAUGAGGCUGGAGGGUCACAUGGCAGAGCUGCGAGUCCUGAGGCUCACACCCGCAGAUGCUGGUGUUUACCGGUGCCAGGCUGGCAGCGCCCAGAGCAGCGCUGAGGUCACCGUGGAAGUGCGGGAAGUGAUGGUGACACAGCCACUGCAAGAUUUGGAGGUCACAGAGGAGGGCUCUGCCUGCUUCUCCUGCGAGCUUUCCCACGAGGAUGAGGAGGUGGAAUGGUCACUCAAUGGGACGCCACUGUAUAACGACAGCUUCCAUGAGAUUACCCACGAGGGCCGCCGCCACACGCUGGUGCUGAAGCGGGUCCGGCAGGCUGAUAGGGGCACUGUAUGUGCCUCCUCCCCUAAGGUUACAGCCUCAGCCCACCUGGAGGUCAAAGGGAAGCCGGUGGUGUUCCUGAAGGCGCUGGAUGAUAUGUCUGUGGAGGAGCAGGGCACACUGGCCUUGCAGUGUGAGGUCUCUGACCACCAGGCCCAUGUGGUGUGGCGAAAGGAUGGUGUGGAGCUGGGCCCCAGUGACAAGUAUGACUUCCUGCAUACAGCGGGCACUCGGGGACUUGUGGUGCAUGACCUGAGCCGGGACGAUGCUGGCCUGUACACCUGCGACGUGGGCACUGAUGAGACCCAUGCCCGUGUCAGCGUGCACGAUCUGCAUGUGGGCAUCACCAAAAGACUGAAGACAGUGGAGGUGCUGGUGGGUGAGAGCUGCAGCUUUGAAUGUGUCCUGUCCCACGAGAACACUGGCGAUGUGGCUGUGUGGACAGUUGGUGGGAAAACGGUGGCCAGCUCUGACCGUUUCCAGGCCACUCGCCAGGGCCGCAAGUACACUCUGGUUGUCCGAGACGCUGUGCCAAGUGACGCUGGGGAGGUGGUCUUCUCUGUGCGGGACCUUACCUCCAAGGCCUCGCUCAUCGUCAGAGAGAGGCUGGUAGACAUCGUGAAGCCACUGGAAGACCAGCAGGCCAUGCUGGGUGAGGAUGUGGUGCUGAGGUGUGAGCUUUCCCGGGAGGGAAUCCCAGUGCACUGGCUGAAGGAUGGGAAGGCCAUUCGCAAGAGUAAGAAGUAUGAGGUGCUCACUGAAGGCACCUGGGCCAUGCUAGUUGUCCAUGCAGCCUCACUCAAAGAUUGUGGGGAGUACACGUGUGAGACAGAGUCUUCCAAAAGCACAGCCAGCCUCCACUUGGAAGAAAAGCCAAAUCGGUUCACAGAGGAGCUGGCUGACCUGCAGGUGGAGGAGAAGGGCACAGCUGUGUUUGCCUGCAAGACGGAGCGUCCUGCAGCCUCAGUGACCUGGUGCAAGGGCCUCACAGAGCUGCGAGCCUCAGGGAAGCACAUGCCCAGCCAGGAGGGCCUGACCUUGAGGCUCACCAUCAGUGCCCUGGAGAAGGCAGACAGUGACACCUAUACCUGUAACAUUGGCCAGGCCCAGUCCCAGGCCCGGCUUCUGGUGCAAGGCCAGAAAGUGUUCAUUAUGGAGGACCUGGAGGACACGGAGGUGCAAGAGGGCUCCUCGGCCACCUUCUGCUGCCGCAUCUCCCCUGCCGACUAUAAGCCCGUCCACUGGUUCUUGGACAAAACCCCCCUGUAUGCCAACGAACUCAAUGAAAUUGAGGCCCAGCCUGGUGGCUACCAUGUACUGACCCUGCGGCAGCUGGCACUCAAGGAUUCAGGCACUGUCCACUUUGAGGCAGGCGACCAGCGGGCCUCGGCUGCCUUGAGGGUCACAGAGAAGCCAAGUGUUUUCUCCCAGGAGCUUACAGAUGUCACAGUCACAGAGGGGGAGGAUCUGACCCUGGUCUGUGAGACUGCUGCCUUAGACAACCCUGUGUGCUGGACCAAGGAUGGGAAGGCCCUGCGGCCAUCGGCCCGGUGCCGGCAGACCUAUGAGGGCCGCCGGGCCCAGUUGGUCAUCACUGACACCACCCUGCAGGACAGCGGGCGCUACAAAUGUGAGACUGGGGGUGCCUGGAGCAGCUCCAUUGUCAGGGUCCAUGCUCGGCCAGUGUGGUUCCGAGAGGGGCUGAAGGACAUGGAGAUACUGGAGGGUGGAGCUGCCACACUACGCUGCAUGCUGUCAUCAGUGGCCAUGCCUGUGGAGUGGCGUUGUGGAGAUGAGGUUCUGAAGCCUGGGGGCAAGUACAGUCUGAGACAGGAAGGUACCAUGCUGGAGCUGGUGGUCCGGGACCUGCGGCCUCAGGACACUGGGCAGUACUGUUGCUGCUUUGGGGACCAGAUGACAUCAGCCAAACUCACCGUGAAGGGUGAGUAUCCUCACCCACACUAUGAUGUUCUGUGUCCAUUGGACUUUGUUACAGCCCUGCCUGCUGAGUUCAUAGGAAGACUGAGAAGCAAGGAGGCCAAAGAAGGGGUCACAGCCACGCUGCGCUGUGAGCUGAGUAAGGAGGCCCCAGUGGAGUGGAAGAAGGGGCCUGAGACCCUCAGAGCUGGGGGCAGAGUGAGUCUGAAGCAGGAAGGAGCUGUGUGUGAACUGGAGAUUCAGGACCUGACCGUGGCAGAUGCCGGGGAGUACUCAUGCGUGUGUGGGCAGGAGAGAACCUCGGCCACACUCACCGUUCUGUCCUCUUGUCCUGUUGGAGUCUCUUUUCUCCUGUCCUGUCAUGUCCUGUCUCCACAUUUCUCCUCCCUGCCUGCUGAGUUCAUAAGAAGACUGAGAAGCAAGGAGUUCAUGGAAGGGACCACAGCCACGCUGCACUGUGAGCUGAGCAAGGCGGCCCCCGUGGAGUGGAGGAAGGGACCCGAGACCCUGAGAGCUGGGGACAGAGUGAGCCUGAGGCAGGAUGGAGUCAUGUGUGAGCUGGAGAUCCGUGGCCUGAUGGUGGCAGAUGCUGGGGAGUACUCAUGCGUAUCUUUGCCCACCAAGUUCGUAAAGGGCCUGAGGAAGGAAGAGGCCACAGAAGGGACCACGGUCACACUGCACUGUGAGCUGAGCAGGGCGGCCCCUGUGGAGUGGAGGAAAGGGUCUGAGACCCUCAGAUCUGGGAACAGAGUGGGCCUGAGGCAGGAUGGAGCCCUGUGUGAGCUGGAGAUCCGUGGCCUGACCAUGGCAGACACCGGAGAGUACUCAUGCGUGUGCGGGCACGAGAGGACCUCAGCCAUGCUCAUUCCCUCCUCAGCCCUGACUGCCAAGUUCACAAAGGGUCUGAGGAAUGAAGAGGCCACAGGAGGGGCCAUGGCCAUACUGUGCUGUGAGCAGAGCAGGACAGGCCCUGUGGAGUUGAAGAAGUGGCCUGAGACCCUCUGGGAUGGAAGCAGAGUGAGCCUGAGGCAGGAAGGGGCUGUGGUGGAUGCCAGGGAGUACUUAUGCAUGUGCGGGCAGGAGAGGACCUUGGGGCCAUCCCUGCCUGCCAGAUUCAUACAAAGUAUGAGGCCUGAGGAGUUCACAGAUGGGGGCUGGGCUGAGGGAAGCCAUCAUCUACAGUAUGUCUUUGCCCUGCCCACUAAUUUCACAAAGGGCCUGAGGAAUGAAGAAGCCAUGGAAAGGGCCACAGCCACCUUGUGUUGUGAUCUGAGAAAGGUGGCCCCUGUGAUGUGGAGGAAGGGGCCUGAGAUCCUCAUAUCUGGGGACAGAGUGAGCCUGGGACAGUAUGGGGCCACAUAUGAGCUGGAUAUCCAUGGUUUGGUUAUGUCAAUGGUCACUGUCAUCUCAGACUAUAAUCACAUCUGUCUGGUCCAUUCCACAGUCACAUUGGCCAACUCUACAGGCAUCAUGGUCCAGGAGAGCUUCCCUGGCAUCUGGAAUGGCUGGGGCUGUGGAUAA